GGCCACGUAGCCAAGUGGUAAGGCGAGGGUCUGCAAAACCCUUAUUCGCGGGUUCGAUUCCCGCCGUGGCCUCCA
rnacentral:tRNA from 1 species